rnacentral:rRNA from 1 species
AACGAACGCUGGCGGCAUGCCUAACACAUGCAAGUCGAACGAGACCUCCGGGUCUAGUGGCGCACGGGUGCGGCACGCGUGGGACCCGGCCCUUAGGUUCGGCAUAAUACCUCGACAGGGGUGCUAAUACCGGAUAAUGUAUGCGGACCAAAGAUAUAUCGCCUUUGGAUGGGCCCGCGUUGGAUUAGCUGGUGGGGAGGGUAAAAGCCUACCACGGAGACGAUCCUUAGCUGGUCUGGGACGCAGGUCAGCCACACUGGGGCUGGGACGCGGCCCAGACUCCUGCGCGAGGCAGCAGUGGGGGAUAUUGGACAAUCGGGGAAGGCCUGAUGGAGCUAGGCCGCGUGAGUGAUGAAGGCGUUAAAGAAGAACAGCUCGUUUACCCGCGAUUAUUAUGACGGUACCGAGAGAAUAAGCACCGGCUAACUCCGUG